rnacentral:tRNA from 3 species
AAGAAUUUAAGUUAAGCAGAAACUAUCAGCCUUCAAAGCUGAAAAUAGGGAAUCUCUAAGUCUUA